AAAAAAUCUAUUGAGAUGGUGGCGAACAUUACGAAUCUUAACCUUCUUAUAGAAUACCCAAAGAACAGAUCUAAAGAAUUUCAAUAAUGACCAUAGGUUAUGUCAAAUAGUACAUUAGCUAUAUAUAUAUAUAUAUAUAUAUCUGUAAUAAAUAAUAUUUUGAUUAAUUUUCCACCAGAUAUAUACAUAUGUAAUUUUCCUGCUAAUAUAUAUUUGUACCAAAUCUGUACAUUUGAACUUUCCCUUCCAAACGUUUUUUUAUUUGGGUAUAGUUAUUAGCAGUCAUCUGUAGCAGGUCAGAGUGCUGGAAGAGAGGCUGGUAGACAUCAAAAUAAAUGACUUCCGUGCCACAUCUGAGAUGCCCUAGAGGCCGAGAUCAUGAUUCCCUUUGUCAAAUAAACUAAAAGUUCUAGAAUUUUCAGACUCCUGUUAGUUUCUGCUACCACUUAAGUGUUAAUAGCUAAUAAUAGAGCAAGCUUGAUUACUACCUUGGUGUCCUAAAACGGAUGUUGGCCUGCCAGGGAGCAGCCAAGGUGAAGUUUUCAACCAGGCCGACCAACUUCAGAGUCCACUGGCUUCAAAACAGUGCUUUACAUCCUCCUUCCAACAUUAUUCACAAGCCGAUCAAGACUGAGAGAGUCACAAGUGUGUGAAACCUGUAUUCUUUCUGACUUCAUUUUCCCUGGUCGAAAUUUUUGUAGAAUAGACAAAUCAAGAAUGAUGACUUCUUAAGAUGCAGUAUUCAAGUUCAGAAAUCUAUACUCAGAUGACCUUAUGUAGGUCAUCUGCUUCUGAGGUUUAUCUCACCAGUGUCAUAGAAACCUGUAUUAAGAAAACAGAUUUCAGGAGCCUUUGAACAAGAAGAGAGAGGAAGAAUGACAUAACUGAACAAGAGAGAUGGCGAGCAGAGUUUCCUGAAUGCUGUGAGCAGAACAAUUGGACAGAUGAGGGAAGUCUGUGACAAUCCAGUGGAAUCACGCAGUGUGUUUAAGUAAAGCUCCCUUUGCUCAAAAUAAAUUUUAAAAGGAAAUUAAAUUCUAACCACGUCUUAGGCAUAAAAUGACCCUCUUUUCUUAUCUAGCCUCAUUCUCUGAAGGUAUACAAGAAUGUUUCAGGUACC
rnacentral:lncRNA from 1 species